GAUGAACGCUGGCGGCGUGCCUAAUACAUGCAAGUCGAGCGAACAGACGAGGAGCUUGCUCCUCUGACGUUAGCGGCGGACGGGUGAGUAACACGUGGAUAACCUACCUAUAAGACUGGGAUAACUUCGGGAAACCGGAGCUAAUACCGGAUAAUAUAUUGAACCGCAUGGUUCAAUAGUGAAAGACGGUUUUGCUGUCACUUAUAGAUGGAUCCGCGCCGGAUUAGCUAGUUGGUAAGGUAACGGCUUACCAAGGCAACGAUGCGUAGCCGACCUGAGAGGGUGGUAGGCCACCCUGGAACUGGGACACGGUCCAGACCCCUAAGGGAGGGAGCAGUAGGGAAUUUUACGCAAUGGGGGAAAGCCUGACGGAGAAACGCCGGGUGGGUGGUGAAGGUCUUGGGAUCGUAAAACUCUGUUAUUAGGGAAAAACAAAUUUGUAAGUAACUAAGCACUUCUUGACGGUAACUAAUCAAAAAGCCCCGGCUAACUACGUG
rnacentral:rRNA from 1 species